rnacentral:rRNA from 1 species
CCUCGUACCUUUUGCAUCAUGGUUUAACUAGUUUAACCAAGCAAAACGAACUUUAAGUUUGACCCCCCGAAACUAAGCGAGCUACUUCAAAACAGCCUUAUGGGCCAACCCAUCUCUGUUGCAAAAGAGUGGGAAGAUUUUCAAGUAGAGGUGACACACCUACCGAGCCUAGAGAUAGCUGGUUAUUUAGGAAAAGGAUAUAGUCCAAUUUUAAACCUCAACACAACUUUAAAUAUACCUCUAGCUUUAAAAUUUAUUCAAAUAAGGUACAGCCUAUUUGAAACAGGAUACAACCUAUAAUGCAGGGUAAUGUUUUUAUACGUGACAAAGUAGGCCUAAGAGCAGCCACCUUAUAAAAGCGUUAUAGCUUCAUCACACACAUUAUCAAUCCCAAUCAAAAUCCAAAACCCUCCCUCUAUACUGAAUGAUUCCAUAUCUAUAUGGAAGACCUUAUGUUAAAACUAGUAACAAGAAUACAAUUCUCCUCAAAGCACGUGUAAGCCGGAAUGAACAAUUCACCGGCAUUUACCGCUAAUGAAUAAAUAGUAGUAACAACACAAGAAAAUCCUACUCACUCAAGCGUUAAUCUAACACUAGAACUUUACAGGAAGAUUAAAAAAAGAGGAAGGAACUCGGCAAACAAUAACUCCGCCUG